UACGUAGGGGCUAGCGUUGUCCGGAAUCAUUGGGCGUAAAGAGCGUGUAGGCGGUCCGGUAAGUCCGCUGUGAAAGUCGGGGGCUCAACCCUCGAAUGCCGGUGGAUACUGUCGGGCUAGAGUGCGGAAGAAGGCGAGUGGAAUUCCUGGGUGUAGCGGUGAAAUGCGCAGAUAUCAGGAGGAACAGCCCGUGGCGAAGGCGGCUCUCUGGGACGGUACUGACGCUGAGACGCGAAAGCGUGGGGAGCGAACAGG
rnacentral:rRNA from 1 species